GGAGGGGGAUAACAGCUGGAAACGGCUGCUAAUCUUUCAUAUGCCGCGAGGUGAAAUGAAUUUCGCCUGAGGAUGAGCUCGCGUCUGAUUAGCUAGUUGGUGUGGGUAAUGGCUCACCAAGGCAUCGAUCAGUAGCUGGUCUGAGAGGAUGAUCAGCCACACUGGGACUGAGACACGGCCCACACUCCUACGGGAGGCAGCAGUGGGGAAUUUUCCGCAAUGGGCGAAAGCCUGACGGAGCAACGCCGCGUGAGGGAUGAAGGCCUCUGGGCUGUAAACCUCUUUUAUCAAGGAAGAAGAUCUGACGGUACUUGAUGAAUAAGCCACGGCUAAUUCCGUGCCAGCAGCCGCGGUAAUACGGGAGUGGCAAGCGUUAUCCGGAAUUAUUGGGCGUAAAGCGUCCGCAGGCGGCCCUUCAAGUCUGCUGUUAAAAAGUGGAGCUUAACUCCAUCAUGGCAGUGGAAACUGAGGGGCUUGAGUGUGGUAGGGGCAGAGGGAAUUCCCGGUGUAGCGGUGAAAUGCGUAGAUAUCGGGAAGAACACCAGUGGCGAAGGCGCUCUGCUGGGCCAUCACUGACGCUCAUGGACGAAAGCCAGGGGAGCGAAAGGGAUUAGAUACCCCUGUAGUCCUGGCCGUAAACGAUGAACACUAGGUGUCGGGGGAAUCGACCCCCUCGGUGUCGCAGCCAACGCGUUAAGUGUUCCGCCUGGGGAGUACGCACGCAAGUGUGAAACUCAAAGGAAUUGACGGGGGCCCGCACAAGCGGUGGAGUAUGUGGUUUAAUUCGAUGCAACGCGAAGAACCUUACCAGGGUUUGACAUCCUGCGAAUCUCUUGGAAACGAGAGAGUGCCUUCGGGAGCGCAGUGACAGGUGGUGCAUGGCUGUCGUCAGCUCGUGUCGUGAGAUGUUGGGUUAAGUCCCGCAACGAGCGCAACCCACGUCUUUAGUUGCCAGCAUUUAGUUGGGCACUCUAGAGAGACCGCCGGUGAUAAACCGGAAGGAAGGUGUGGAUGACGUCAAGUCAUCAUGCCCCUUACAUCCUGGGCUACCCACGUACUACAAUG
rnacentral:rRNA from 1 species